AUCCUACUCCCUCCGUUCGGAAUUACUUGUCGCGAAAAUGGAUGUAUCUAGAAGUAUUUUAGUUUUAGAUACAUCCAUUUUCAAGACAAGUAAUUCCGAACGGAGGGAGUAAUAU
rnacentral:pre_miRNA from 1 species